rnacentral:rRNA from 1 species
UACGUAGGGUGCAAGCGUUAAUCGGAAUUACUGGGCGUAAAGCGUGCGCAGGCGGUUUUGUAAGUCUGUCGUGAAAUCCCCGGGCUCAACCUGGGAAUUGCGAUGGAGACUGCAAGGCUAGAAUCUGGCAGAGGGGGGUAGAAUUCCACGUGUAGCAGUGAAAUGCGUAGAGAUGUGGAGGAACACCGAUGGCGAAGGCAGCCCCCUGGGUCAAGAUUGACGCUCAUGCACGAAAGGCGUGGGG